rnacentral:rRNA from 1 species
GAAUAUUGGUCAAUGGAGGCAACUCUGAACCAGCUAUGCCGCGUGCAGGAUGACGGUCCUAUGGAUUGUAAACUGCUUUUGUACAGGCAGAAAUAGAGCUACGUGUAGCUUAUUGACGUAACUGUCAGAAUAAGGAUCGGCUAACUACGUGCCAGCAGCCGCGGUACUACGGAGGAACCAAGCAUUAUCCGGAAUAAUUGGGUUUAAAGGGUCCGUAGGCGGCCUUAUAAGUCAGCGGUGAAAGUUUUUGGCUUAACCAAAAAAUUGCCGUUGAUACUGUAGGGCUUGAAUUUUUGUGAAGUAACUAGAAUAUGUAGUGUAGCGGUGAAAUGCUUAGGUAUUACAUGGAAUACCAAUUGCGAAGGCAGGUUACUAACAAACAAUUGACGCUGAUGGACGAAAGCGUGGGUAGCGAACA